AGAGUUUGAUCCUGGCUCAGGAUGAACGCUAGCUACAGGCUUAACACAUGCAAGUCGAGGGGCAGCAUGGUCUAGCAAUAGACCGAUGGCGACCGGCGCACGGGUGAGUAACACGUAUCCAACCUGCCCAUUACUCGGGGAUAGCCUUUCGAAAGAAAGAUUAAUACCCGAUGGCAUAACGGAAAGACAUCUUUCUGUUAUUAAAGAACUUCGGUAAUGGAUGGGGAUGCGUUCCAUUAGAUAGUUGGCGGGGUAACGGCCCACCAAGUCAGCGAUGGAUAGGGGUUCUGAGAGGAAGGUCCCCCACAUUGGAACUGAGACACGGUCCAAACUCCUACGGGAGGCAGCAGUGAGGAAUAUUGGUCAAUGGACGCGAGUCUGAACCAGCCAAGCAGCGUGAAGGAUGACUGCCCUAUGGGUUGUAAACUUCUUUUAUAUGGGAAUAAAGUGGUCCACGUGUGGACUUUUGUAUGUACCAUAUGAAUAAGGAUCGGCUAACUCCGUGCCAGCAGCCGCGGUAAUACGGAGGAUCCGAGCGUUAUCCGGAUUUAUUGGGUUUAAAGGGAGCGUAGGCGGAUUGUUAAGUCAGUUGUGAAAGUUUGCGGCUCAACCGUAAAAUUGCAGUUGAUACCGGCAGUCUUGAGUGCAGUAGAGGUGGGCGGAAUUCGUGGUGUAGCGGUGAAAUGCUUAGAUAUCACGAAGAACUCCGAUUGCGAAGGCAGCUCACUGGAGUGUAACUGACGCUGAUGCUCGAAAGUGUGGGUAUCAAACAGGAUUAGAUACCCUGGUAGUCCACGCAGUAAACGAUGAUAACUCGUUGUCGGCGAUACACAGUCGGUGACUAAGCGAAAGCGAUAAGUUAUCCACCUGGGGAGUACGUUCGCAAGAAUGAAACUCAAAGGAAUUGACGGGGGCCCGCACAAGCGGAGGAACAUGUGGUUUAAUUCGAUGAUACGCGAGGAACCUUACCCGGGCUUGAAAGUUAGCGACGAUUCUUGAAAGAGGAUUUCCCUUCGGGGCGCGAAACUAGGUGCUGCAUGGUUGUCGUCAGCUCGUGCCGUGAGGUGUCGGGUUAAGUCCCAUAACGAGCGCAACCCCUACCGUUAGUUGCCAUCAGGUCAAGCUGGGCACUCUGGCGGGACUGCCGGUGUAAGCCGAGAGGAAGGUGGGGAUGACGUCAAAUCAGCACGGCCCUUACGUCCGGGGCUACACACGUGUUACAAUGGUAGGUACAGAGGGCAGCUACCCAGCGAUGGGAUGCGAAUCUCGAAAGCCUAUCUCAGUUCGGAUUGGAGGCUGAAACCCGCCUCCAUGAAGUUGGAUUCGCUAGUAAUCGCGCAUCAGCCAUGGCGCGGUGAAUACGUUCCCGGGCCUUGCACACACCGCCCGUCA
rnacentral:rRNA from 1 species